UACGUAGGGCGCAAGCGUUAUCCGGAAUUAUUGGGCGUAAAGAGCUCGUAGGCGGUUUGUCGCGUCUGCCGUGAAAGCCCGGGGCUCAACCCCGGAAUGGCUUUCGAAACUGCUGAGCUAGAGUACAGAAGGGGCAACCGGAAUUCCCAGUGUAGCGGUGAAAUGCGUAGAUAUUGGGAAGAACACCUGAGGCGAAGGCGGGUUGCUGGGCUGAUACUGACGCUGAGGCGCGAAAGCCAGGGGAGCAAACGGG
rnacentral:rRNA from 1 species